CAACGAGCUCAGACAGCUAUUUAGCGAUCUUGUAGUUCACUUCACGUGCUUCACUUGAAGGCCAUGUUAAGUUUACUUUGUAAAAUUUGAAUUAAAUGUAUCAAAAGGCACAAUUUUAGUGUGUAAAGUUAUUACAAUAAACUGUAUUUAAGUGGAUUGUGUGUUGUGGAUGGAGUAUUUAGGUAAUCAAAGAAGCAUACGAAAGUCAUGCAGAGCUCAUUUUUUCACGUUUACGUAGUCAUACGCCUAAUGCAAAGAAAACAAAAAUUACAACUUAAUUUAAAAAUUUGUCUCCUCUGCAUCACUCUAGAGCUAUUUUGGAGAGUAUCACCUCAACCCAAACUGCAUUUGCUGUUCUAUGUUGUUUUCAUACAAAUCAAAGUGCAAAUAAACACAGAAGAUGUAUCUGCCUGUUGCUAUUGACACAGAUUUUUCAAACGUUAAUCACUGUUAAUCGUACUAAUUACAUUGCUGUCAGAAUGCAUGAACAAUAUCUUAGUUUGCGUUCCGAAGACGAACGGUUUGAUAUGACAUGGGGGUAAGUGAUUAAAGACAAUUUCAGUUUGGGGUGGAGUAACUUGUGUAGUCCUAAUUCUUCAGUGAUUCUUGCUGUUCAGAUUAUUUAUUUAUUUAUUAUUUUUUUAAAGAUCUGUGCCGAGUUUUACAGAAUUACACAAACCAACCUGAAGAGUACCUUUUUCUCUUCUUUGGAUGAAUACGCGUCAAAGAUGAUCAUGUUGUACCGAUCACGUGGUGGAGCCUAUGGAGAUGAAAUGAAGACCUUCCUAGACCAACUUGAUCAAGCUUCUGAUGUGCUUGCUCAGAGAAAGGCUACAGCUCUCAAAGGUCUACCUUUGUUUAUGAGGGAAAAGUCUGGAAACUUCCUGAAGACUUGCCUGGUAAGUGUUAUCAGUCUGUUAUCAGCAUAUACACUCAUCUGAGGCUGCUUUUUACUUCAGGACACAGACCCAGAAGACACUCACACAAAAGGGAUGAAGAUGGGGGUCUUAACUGUCUUUGAAGAUGACAUUCCCACCAUUCAUUCAAACCCAAAUGCCUGUCUGUAGUUCUGGAGGAGCAAGUUGUGCUGGAUAAUGUGCAAGACCUCCCUACAGCUGUUGCUCUCCUAUUUGGCUUGAUUUAUGCCCUCAACAUUAGUUAUCCUGAACAACUAAAAUACAUGUUUGAAACAAUUCAGAAAGUGUUUAUUGGCCUUGACCCCCAGUGGUCUGCGAGAAUCCAGUCCUACAAAAACAAAUUGUUAAAGUUUAAGUAGUUGCAGUUCAUAUUGCUAAUCAAAAGUGCAAGCACUGAUUUAUUCCUGUUUGUUCAAUAGCUGUAUUUGUAAUACAUGUAUAUGUAUGCCAAGACAGUUUUGAGUCUUAAGGUAAGGUUUUAUGACUUAAGUAUUGUUUUAACAGUUGUAAAUAACUGAUUGCUCUAGCACAUGUCUUGUUUAUUGCUGCAGCAUUUAAGAUUAUUUUGGCACUUUGAGAACAAUUUUGUUACUUCAGCACUUUAAUAGCGUUUGUGUUUUGUUUUACUGCAGCGCUUUAAAGGCAUUUGAAGAU